AAAAACCCUAAUUUCCCUUUCCCCAAACCCAGCAGCAUACACACACGUACCCCCAACUUGUUAACUCCUCAGUGAGCCACGCCAUCCUCUCCUCACCAUUCACUCACUCUCACUGGCUCUUGCCUCACCCAUCACCCUCUUUCAGUCCUAAGUCCUAACGCACAGCAACAGAAAUCAAAAGAAAGAAAGAAAAGAGAGAGAGAUCCGAGAAUGAGGCUGCGACGGGGAAGAGAGAAGAGAGGAGGGGAAGCUGCUGUCAAGCCGUCGCGUCCAGCUCGCCGUUGCGCCGCCAGCACACCACGUCACCGUCGGGAGUAGAACCGCGAGAGAGGAACGCGAGCCCCUGGCUGAGGAGAGGAGUCCGACACCGUCGCCGAAGCUUUGUCAUUGACACUGAGCUUCCGCCGCUGUCGUGCCUUGAACGCCGUGUGGUGGAUGCCGGCGCUGCUGUCUGGAUCAUUGCGGUCAGAGCUGCCGCUGAAGGAAGGCCGUUCAGUCACCCUCAUCAAGUUGCAUGUGGCUGUUAGAGCUCCUUGUCUCUGCUCUAAUCGUCGGAAGUCACCGACGAAGUUGUGGUCGCCCCAUUCCACUAUUCUUUUUUCAUGGUUGUUGAAAACCUUGAGAUAUUGAUGUAUUAGGGUUGUGUAAAUGCCACUGCAAAUUGUUCGAUGAUAUUGCUAUUGUGGAGAGUUGUUGGCGAGGCUAAUGCCGCUGCUGUUGCUAAUCCGGUUUGAGGCUGUUGCUACUGCUGCGAGUUAGAACGAAGUUGGAGUCACGCCUAACCUUGUGGGUUUCGACUAACUGAGUGACACAGGUUCGGGGACUCGGUGUGAAGCUGCGGGCGAUUAUGAGUUUUAUUUAAGUUUGUGUUGAGUUGUUUUCAUAGAAUUCCCUCGCCUUUGUUAUUUAAGAUUUUAU